GGGGCCUUAGCUCAGUUGGUAGAGCGCUGCCUUUGCAAGGCAGAUGUCAGGAGUUCGAAUCUCCUAGGCUCCACCC
rnacentral:tRNA from 8 species